rnacentral:sRNA from 1 species
UCUAUUUUUGGAAACCACAUAACACAUUCUUAAAUAAGACAACUCAAGUCAAAUCUAAGAAAAAAAAUACUAAUCUUAUAAAUCAUCAAAUGUCAUGAUUCGUUACAACUCCAAACGAAAAUACAAAUGAAAGAGAAAUAAGAACAACAACUCAAAAGCUCAAAAAAAACUCAACAACACUGAAACUGGGAACCAAGGAUAGACAAACUCAUGCAGCAAUCUGCUUCUCGAACCACUUUUUGAAUUUUGCCUUCAUCCUCGCCUCUGGCUCCUAAGUCUCCUCUGUCACACCAUCGCAGUCCCACAUGACUUUGAUCAAAGGAAUCUUCUUCCGCCGAAGUUCCUUGAUCCUCCUCUCGAGAACCCUCACUGGUCUUGCCUCCAAAGUCAUGUUGUACUGAAGAUCCUCUGGAAUCUUAGCCAACACCUCAUCAUCCUUGUAAAGACACUUCCUCAGCAUCGACACAUGAAAAAUC